UUAUACCGGUUCUCGUUAGAUCACCGAAGUCAAGCAUCAUUGGGCGCGGUCAGUACUUGGGUGGGUGACCACUUGAGAACACCGCGUGCCGU
rnacentral:rRNA from 1 species